rnacentral:rRNA from 1 species
AGAAUGAACGUUGGCGGCGUGGAUUAGGCAUGCGAGUCGUACGAGAACCCGCAAGGGGGAAAGUGGCGAACGGGGUAGUAAGGCGUAGGUGACGUGCCCUAUGGUCGGGGAUAGCUUAGGGAAACUUAAGGUAAUACUCGAUGAUCCCGGGAGGUUUGAAGACCAUCCGGGCAAAGGUGUGAUUCCAUCAUGGGAGCGGCUUGCGUGGUAUUAGCUAGUUGGUGAGGUAACGCUCACCAGGCUUCGAUGCCUAGGGGAUGUUAGCGCAUGAUCCCCACACUGGGACUGAGAUACCUGCCCAGACACCUACGGGUGCUGCAGUCGAGAUCUUCGGCAAUGGGCAAAGCCUAGGACCGAGCGACCGCCGCGUGUGGAUGAAGGCCCGUUGGGUUACGUAAACCGACUGGUCAAGGAGGGAAUGAAAGUGCGAGUUCGGGGUCCCUUCCCGUGUUGUUGAC